CCUACGGGCGGCUGCAGUGAGGAAUAUUGGUCAAUGGACGCAAGUCUGAACCAGCCAUGCCGCGUGCAGGAAGACGGCUCUAUGAGUUGUAAACUGCUUUUGUACGAGGGUAAACGCAGAUACGCGUAUCUGUCUGAAAGUAUCGUACGAAUAAGGAUCGGCAAACUCCGUGGCAGCAGCCGCGGUAAUACGGAGGAUUCAAGCGUUAUCCGGAUUUAUUGGGUUUAAAGGGUGCGUAGGCGGUCGGAUAAGUUAGAGGUGAAAUCCCGAGGCUCAACUUCGGAAUUGCCUCUGAUACUGUUCGGCUAGAGAGUAGUGGCGGUAGGCGGAAUGUAGGGGGUAGCGGUGAAAUGCUUAGAGAUCAUACAGAACACCGAUUGCGAAGGCAGCUUACCAAGCUACUUCUGACGUUGAGGCACGAAAGCGUGGGGAGCAAACAGGAUAGAUACCCGGGUAGUC
rnacentral:rRNA from 1 species